rnacentral:rRNA from 1 species
GGGGGGGGGGGGGGGGGGGCGGGGGGCGUGCGGGUCGGGCGGGGGGGCCCUGCGUUUGUGGGGUGCUGGGGUGGCGGGCGGGUGAGUAACCGGUGAGUCGCCUGCCCUUGACUUUGGGAUAACUUCAGUCACCUGGGGCUAAUCCCGGAUAGGCGCUCCUUCUGCAUGGUGGUGGUUGGCAAGUUUCGGCUGUUGGGGAUGGACUCGCGGCUUCUCAGCUUGUUGGUGGUGUAGUUGCUUACCACGGCUGUGACGGGUAGCCGGCCUGAGCGGGGGACCGGCCACAUGGGGACUGAGAUACGGACCAGACUCCUACGGGAGGCAGCAGUGGGGAAUAUUGCACAAUGGGCGGAAGCCUGAUGCAGCAACGCCGCGUGCGGGAUGACGGACUUCGGGUUGUAAACCGAUUUCGCCUGUGACGAAGCGUGAGUGACGGUAAUGGGUAAAGAAGCACCGGCUAACUACGUG